rnacentral:rRNA from 1 species
AUUGAACGCUGGCGGCAGGCUUAACACAUGCAAGUCGAGCGGUAGCACAGGGGGGCUUGCUCCCUGGGUGACGAGCGGCGGACGGGUGAGUAAUGUCUGGGAAACUGCCUGAUGGAGGGGGAUAACUACUGGAAACGGUAGCUAAUACCGCAUAACGUCGCAAGACCAGAGAGGAGGACCUUCGGGCCUCUUGCCCCCAGAUGUGCCCAGAUGGGAUUAGCUAGUAGGUGGGGUAAUGGCUCACCUAGGCGACGAUCCCUAGCUGGUCUGAGAGGAUGACCAGCCACACUGGAACUGAGACACGGUCCAGACUCCUACGGGAGGCAGCAGUGGGGAAUAUUGCACAAUGGGCGCAAGCCUGAUGCAGCCAUGCCGCGUGUGUGAAGAAGGCCUUCGGGUUGUAAAGCACUUUCAGCGAGGAGGAAGGUGGUGAGCUUAAUACGCUCAUCAAUUGACGUUACUCGCAGAAGAAGCACCGGCUAACUCCGUG